rnacentral:rRNA from 1 species
AGUGGCGGACGGGUGAGUAACGCGUAAGAAUCUAACUUCAGGACGGGGACAACAGUGGGAAACGACUGCUAAUACCCGAUGUGCCGCAAGGUGAAACCUAAUUGGCCUGGAGAAGAGCUUGCGUCUGAUUAGCUAGUUGGUGGGGUAAAGGCCUACCAAGGCGACGAUCAGUAGCUGGUCUGAGAGGAUGAGCAGCCACACUGGGACUGAGACACGGCCCAGACUCCUACGGGAGGCAGCAGUGGGGAAUUUUCCGCAACGGGCGAAAGCCUGACGGAGCAACGCCGCGUGAGGGAGGAAGGUCUUUGGAUUGUAAACCUCUUUUCUCAAGGAAGAAGUUCUGACGGUACUUGAGGAAUCAGCCUCGGCUAACUCCGUGCCAGCAGCCGCGGUAAUACGGGGGAGGCAAGCGUUAUCCGGAAUUAUUGGGCGUAAAGCGUCCGCAGGUGGUCAGCCAAGUCUGCCGUCAAAUCAGGUUGCUUAACGACCUAAAGGCGGUGGAAACUGGCAGACUAGAGAGCAGUAGGGGUAGCAGGAAUUCCCAGUGUAGCGGUGAAAUGCGUAGAGAUUGGGAAGAACAUCGGUGGCGAAAGCGUGCUACUGGGCUGUAUCUGACACUCAGGGACGAAAGCUAGGGGAGCGAAAGGGAUUAGAUACCCCUGUAGUCCUAGCCGUAAACGAUGGAUACUAGGCGUGGCUU